rnacentral:lncRNA from 1 species
CCCUUGGCUACCCUAACAGUCAAGAACAAAGUUCCCACAACAAAGGCGGCUGUGAGGAGGGAGCUUCUCCACCUAUUUGCAUAGAGAGGGAACAGGUGCCUCUCAGCCGAGAAACCACUGAAGGAAAUUCUGACUUCCGGCAAUCUUCUGAUUGGAGGGGUUGGACAAGAUGUUGGGGAGAACCCCAGUUAAGGCUUUGCCUCAAACUAACAGUGAUCAACUGAAUAAUUUUCUGCGAGACCCUCAGCAUCUCUGCAAGAAGAUUCUAGAGCCCAUGCCUACGGUCUUGAAUAGGGACAGUUUCAAUGACAAAUGCUGCCACCUGCAGGUGGAAGGUGAAACUGGACUGUUCAGAACCGCAAUGUUUGGAAACCUCCAGCCAAGUUUGGUCAACUUCAAGGCGAUGUUACACUUUCUUUAGUUUGAAGUGUACUCUAUCAGCAUGCACCUGUGAUUUCCGAGUCUGUGUUGCUGGAGAGAUGGCUCAGCGGAUAAGAGCUCUGACUGUUCUUCCAGAGGUCCUGAGUUCAAUUCCUG